GCAGUCGUGGCCGAGUGGUUAAGGCGAUGGACUAGAGAUUCAUUGGGGUCUCCCCACACAGGUUCGAAUCCUGUAAACUGUG
rnacentral:tRNA from 1 species